CAUAAUAUAUCAAAAUUGUAGAGAACGACUUCUCCAUCACCGGCACCGUACUUCAAUGGAUUCGCUCCUAUCUCAUGCACCGAACUCAGAAGGUGAUCAUCAAUGACACCAAC